rnacentral:rRNA from 1 species
GAUCCUGGCUCAGGAUGAACGCUAGCUACAGGCUUAACACAUGCAAGUCGAGGGGCAGCAGGGCAAUAGCUUGCUAUUGCUGCUGGCGACCGGCGCACGGGUGAGUAACGCGUAUCCAACCUACCCCGCGGUCAGGGACAGCCCGGCGAAAGUCGGAUUAAUACCUGAUGCAGUCAGAAGAGGGCAUCUGAUUUUGACGAAAGAUUUAUCGCCUCGGGAUGGGGAUGCGUAGGAUUAGGCAGGCGGCGGGGUAACGGCCCACCGCGCCGACGAUCCUUAGGGGUUCUGAGGGGAAGGUCCCCCACACUGGUACUGAGACACGGACCAGACUCCUACGGGAGGCAGCAGUGAGGAAUAUUGGUCAAUGGGCGCGAGCCUGAACCAGCCAAGUAGCGUGCCAGGACGACGGCCCUAUGGGUUGUAAACUGCUUUUAUGCGGGGAUAAAGUGCGGCACGUGUGCCGUUUUGUAUGUACCCUAUGAAUAAGGACCGGCUAAUUCCGUGCCAGCCGCAGC